rnacentral:piRNA from 1 species
UAUUGAUUGUAUACAAUGAGUUG